rnacentral:rRNA from 1 species
UACUCAAAAAAACAAAUACUCAGUUCAGACUGCAGGCUGCAACUCGCCUGCACGAAGUCGGAAUUGCUAGUAAUCGUAGGUCAGCAUACUACGGUGAAUACGUUCCCGGGCCUUGUACACACCGCCCGUCAAACCAUGAGAGUUGGCAACACCCGAAGUCGGUAGUCUAACCGCAAGGAGGACGCCGCCGAAGGUGGGGUUGAUGAUUAGGGUUAAGUCGUAACAAGGUAUC